rnacentral:rRNA from 1 species
AUUGAACGCUGGCGGCAGGCCUAACACAUGCAAGUCGAACGCGUGGCGGACGGGUGAGUAAUGUCUGGGAAACUGCCUGCUGGAGGGGGAUAAAUACUGGAAACGGUAGCUAAUACCGCAUACCAUCGGAUGUGCCCAGAUGGGAUUAGCUCGUAGGUGGGGUAACGGCUCCCCUAGGCGACGCUCCCGAGCUGGUCUGAGAGGAUGACCAGCCACACUGGAACUGAGACACGGUCCAGACUCCUACGGGAGGCAGCAGUGGGGAAUAUUGCACAAUGGGCGCAAGCCUGAUGCAGCCAUGCCGCGUGUAUGAAGAAGGCCUUCGGGUUGUAAAGUACUUUCAGCGGGGAGGCGUUACCCGCAGAAGAAGCACCGGCUAACUCCGUGCCAGCAGCCGCGGUAAUUC